rnacentral:snoRNA from 1 species
UGGACCAGUGAUGAGAGUGUGUUAUGAAUCAGGGGUCACGAUUAACCCAGUUUCAUGCACCUGAGGUCCAAC